GGGGGUGUGGAGGGGAGAGGCCGGGAUGGAGCCGGGAUCGAGCCGGGAUCGAACCGGGAUGGAGCCGGGAUCGAACCGGGAUGGAGCCGGAAGGAGCCGGGCAGGAGCGGGAGCACUGUGGAGAAAGUGGCGGCUGGCUCUGUCCCAGUUCCUCAGGUCAUGCCACUUGGAAUCCCUCUUCCAGGGAAGGCUAAACAUGAAGUAGACACAAAUACUCUUCUAGAAAUGAAAUCAGGUCUGAAUAAGAGCUUUGAAUCCAGAUGGCACCAUGUCUUGAAUGCAGACACCUCCUGCCAGUGAAUACACCCUCUUGCAUUGGAUGUGAGUCACCAAUAGCUCCACAGCUGCAGCCCCAAACCAACAUCUGCGUAAAGGGACCAGCGUGCCAGGACUGAGAGCAUGCGCAGGAAUGCACUAAGACCCUAUAAAAGACUGUGUGAUCCAACGGCGAGUGGAACCCCCCCACCAAAGUACACGGAGACUCCAGACCAGCGGGAUGCUGCUGGAUCCAUGGUGGUGACUAUCUCUUGCUGCAACUCUAUCCCGACUGCUUGCCAGAUUUCCUUCUUUUCUAUUUUUUCCCUCUUUCUUAUAGCUGUUUUCUUACCACAGUAAAUAACUACUUUGUUUAGAUAAGUAAGCAAUAAAUCUCUU
rnacentral:lncRNA from 1 species